rnacentral:rRNA from 1 species
AGGACGAACGCUGGCGGCGUGCUUAACACAUGCAAGUCGAGCGGUAAGGCCUUUCGGGGUACACGAGCGGCGAACGGGUGAGUAACACGUGGGUGAUCUGCCCUGCACUCUGGGAUAAGCCUGGGAAACUGGGUCUAAUACCGGAUAUGACCUGCUCUCGCAGUGGGGGUGGUGGAAAGUAUUUUAGUCGGUGCAGGAU